rnacentral:tRNA from 1 species
UACGAUAGUAGGUUAAUGGUAGACCCUGGCACUUCCAAUGCUACUGUGCGUGUUCGAUUCACGUCUAUCGUAU